rnacentral:rRNA from 1 species
UACGUAGGGUGCAAGCGUUGUCCGGAAUUAUUGGGUUUAAAGGGUGCGUAGGCGGCUUUGUAAGUCAGUGGUGAAAUAUGGCAGCUUAACUGUCAGGGUGCCAUUGAUACUGCAGAGCUUGAGUACAGAUGAGGUAGGCGGAAUUGACGGUGUAGCGGUGAAAUGCUUAGAUAUCGUCAAGAACACCUAUAGCGAAGGCAGCUUACUAGGCUGUAACUGACGCUGAGGCACGAAAGUGUGGGGAUCAAACAGG